rnacentral:rRNA from 1 species
AUUGAACGCUCGCGGCAGGCCUAACACAUGCACGUCGAACGAGUGGCGGACGGGUGAGUUAUACCUGGGACACUGCCUCCCUGAGCGGGAUAACUACUGGACACGGUAGCUAAUACUGCACACCAUCUGAUGUGUCCAGAUGGGAUUAGCUAGUAGGUGGGGUAAAGGAGCCCCUAGGCGACGAUCCCUAGCUGGUCUGAGUUGAUGAAAAGGCACACUGGAACUGAGACACGGUCCAGACGCCGAAGGGAGGCAGCAGUGGGGAAUAUUGCACAAGGGGCGCAAGCCUGGUGCAGCCAUGCCGCGUGUAUUAAGAAGGCCGUGGGGUUGGAGAGUACUUUCAGCGGGGAGGCGUUACCCGCAGAAGAAGCACCGGCUAACUCCGUGCCAGCAGCCGCGGUAAUUC